rnacentral:rRNA from 1 species
UACGGGGGGGGCAAGCGUUGUUCGGAAUUACUGGGCGUAAAGGGCUCGUAGGUGGCCAACUAAGUCAGACGUGAAAUCCCUCGGCUUAACCGGGGAACUGCGUCUGAUACUGGAUGGCUUGAGGUUGGGAGAGGGAUGCGGAAUUCCAGGUGUAGCGGUGAAAUGCGUAGAUAUCGAGAGGAACACCGGUGGCGAAGGCGGCCUUCUGGACAGUGACUGACGCUGAGACGCGAAAGCGUGGGGAGCAAACAGG